UACGAAGGGGGCUAGCGUUGCUCGGAAUUACUGGGCGUAAAGCGCACGUAGGCGGCUCUUUAAGUCGGAGGUGAAAUCCUGGAGCUCAACUCCAGAACUGCCUUCGAUACUGAAGAGCUCGAGUCCGGGAGAGGUGAGUGGAACUGCGAGUGUAGAGGUGAAAUUCGUAGAUAUUCGCAAGAACACCAGUGGCGAAGGCGGCUCACUGGCCCGAUACUGACGCUGAGGCACGAAAGCGUGGGGAGCAAACAGG
rnacentral:rRNA from 1 species